rnacentral:rRNA from 1 species
CGAACGCUGGCGGCAUGCCUAACACAUGCAAGUCGAACGAGACCUUCGGGUCUAGUGGCGCACGGGUGCGUAACGCGUGGGAACCUGCCCUUAGGUUCGGAAUAACUCCCCGAAAGGGGUGCUAAUACCGGGUAAUGUCUUCGGACCAAAGAUUUAUCGCCUUUGGAUGGGCCCGCGUUGGAUUAGCUAGUUGGUAGGGUAAAAGCCUACCAAGGCGACGAUCCAUAGCUGGUCUGAGAGGAUGAUCAGCCACACUGGGACUGAGACACGGCCCAGACUCCUACGGGAGGCAGCAGUGGGGAAUAUUGGACAAUGGGCGAAAGCCUGAUCCAGCAAUGCCGCGUGAGUGAUGAAGGCCUUAGGGUUGUAAAGCUCUUUUACCCGGGAUGAUAAUGACAGUACCGGGAGAAUAAGCUCCGGCUAACUCCGUG